UAAGGAAUAUUGGUCAAUGGACGCAAGUCUGAACCAGCCGUGCCGCGUGAAGGAUGAAGGUCCUCUGGAUUGUAAACUUCUUUUAUCUGGGACGAAAACGGGAUUUUUAUCUCAAUUGACGGUACCAGAGGAAUAAGCACCGGCUAACUCCGUGCCAGCAGCCGCGGUAAUACGGAGGGUGCGAGCGUUAUCCGGAUUUACUGGGUUUAAAGGGUGCGUAGGUGGGCUUAUAAGUCAGUGGUGAAAUCUCCGAGCUUAACUUGGAAACUGCCGUGGAUACUAUAGGUCUUGAAUUAUCUGGAGGUAAGCGGAAUAUGUCAUGUAGCGGUGAAAUGCUUAGAUAUGACAUAGAACACCAAUUGCGAAGGCAGCUUACUACAUAUAAAUUGACGCUGAGGCACGAAAGCGUGGGGAUCAAACA
rnacentral:rRNA from 1 species